UUUGUCAGAGCGAAUAGCGACAAAUGCAGCGACUUUAUCCGCUUUAUUGGACACUUUUGCGGCGUCUGACGUGAAAACACGCGUCGCUCUGUGCUCAGCGGGUCCCGCGGGAACUGGUCCAGGAAAGAGAGAACUCUUCAAUGGUCGCUCGUCUCCGGGGGACGGGUUCGAUCUCGGACUCGGAAGUGGCGAUUUAGACUCCGCUAAAAGCGGACGACUGUAGGUCCGACGCCCCCGACCCCCCAGCGUGCUAUGAGGGCGGAGUGAGUCCGUAGAACUGGUCCAGUUCGAUUGUGGAGAGGAACGCGGACCCUGAGACCACACUGCUGACGUAUCUGAGGAGGACGCUGGGUCUGACAGGAACCAAGCUGGGCUGUGCUGAAGGUGGAUGUGGCGC
ensembl:lncRNA